ACUGAAAGAGAACAACUGACUGUGCAGAUGGUGUCAGUGGCAAAAACACGGCUUCUUUGCCCAUGGUUUGUGCUUCCCUGAAGGAAGAUUACUGGCAAUAGAUUCCCACCCUAAUUCAGCAGGUGAAUUAAUGGAAUCUUGAAGAUGGAGAUUUUACUGGACUCCUUUAUGAUUGAUAAUGCACCAAAUGCCCUUCAGACCCAUUGAGGACGGGAGACUGAAUGGAAAAGAGUCUUCUGUUGAUUUGCCAAGUCUGACAGAAACAGUUUGCAGUGCACUUUGUUCUCCUGAAAUGAAAGGAAUGGGGUGAUAAAAUGUUGGACUAUCACUGCCAGGGCCUGCAGUACAGUAGACCUUUUGUUCCCAGAUGUAGAGAAACUUGUGGGGAAGGGUAUGAGCUCCCCUAUGCAUCCUGUACCAAAAGAGAACAUCUGAUACUCAACAUCUGAUCCUUAGAUGGUGUACACUUGCUGUAUACACUAGCAAAGCACCAAGAAUGUCUGAAGCCGGAGUGAAGAAGAAUUAGUGAACUCAAUUUUACACAUACCCAUUUGAAAC